rnacentral:misc_RNA from 1 species
GAUAGAAAUCUAACGUUUUAAAUCUAAAAUAUUUCGAAUUUUUCUUUGCUUAAUCGUAAUGUAUUGUAAAAAAUAUCCAACAUUUUAAAUCUAAAAUAUUUCGAAUUUUUCUUUACUUAAUCAUAAUGUAUUGUAAAAAAUAUCUUGCUGUAUUUAAAAUUUCUGGUGAUGGGUAAUUUGUUGACCAUGCAGCCUCCUUAACACAAUGAUUUUGCUCCCCAUCAAAACUUAUUAAAAUAAAAAGAAAGUAAAACUGCAAACUUAAGUAAACGUACAUAUGUGGUAGAGUCAGGUAUAUGGCAUUCCAACUAGCUCCGGCUAGUGGGUUAACCCUUUAGCUCGAUCGGUAGAGUGCUGGACUGGCAUGCCAGAGGACCCGGGUUCAAACCCCGGCAGAGGCAAUAGGUGUCUCUGUUACACAUAUACUAGCUAUAAUCAACAUCUUUGCAUCAUGACUUACAUUUGCCGUUUAUUAAAAUGUUGCCAAAUGCUUUAAUGAAAUAAUGCGUAUGUUAUUUAAGGCUAUAGAAUGCUACAACAAGGCAUUAAUACAGCUCAACAGCCAUCAGUUCACUGAGAUCUGGGAGUCCGUGUGCUGGGAAAUGUCAACAUGUCUCUUCAACAUGGCCACCCUUCUACAGGACUACGCUCCACUUCAGCAGUAUUCUCAAGACAAGGUGGAAAAAGAAGUGGUGGAUCUCAUGUUGAAGUCUCUAAAAUACUGUAAUGUGGAUAUCAAGUCUGCCAAACAGCCGAUGUGUCAGUACCGCGCAGCUACCAUCCACCACCGCCUGGCCUCGCUGUAUCACAACUCUCUCAGGAACCACCAGAACUCUGACCAGAGGAAAAAGUACUUGAGGCAGUUGAUGGAGACCCACUAUAGAAAGGCUGUAUCAUUCUUCUCCGUGUUGGAGUGCCACACAGAGCUACUAAGAGUACUCCUGGAGCAGGUAGCUUACUGGGAAUUCAUUCUCAAUGGUCAGACUAACACCAAAUCUCAGUUGAAAACCCUUGCAUGUGCUGUCAGGUGCCUGCUUGAGUGUAAAGGUGUUCUAAAUCACAUGAUCAAACAGCUUGAGGACCCGGAUAUCAGCGACAAGGUAAAAACAGAAGGGUCGAGUCUGACGGAUAUUUUGGAGUCGAGACUACAAUUUAUACUGCUACAGUUGAUGAAAUAUUUCAAGGCCAAUAAAGCAAGCAAUCAUAGUGAUGUCCAGAAAAUAAAAACAUUAUACAGACAAAGUUUGGAAAACCAGAAUGCUACAGAAGCUUCACCAGUGAUGGAUAAAUGGAGUCACCUUGUCCAAGUUUUAGAGGAUCUUCACUCCAUGUCACAAGAUAUACUUCCAAAGGAGAUGGAAUUCACUUGAUUAUUUGUUUAUGAAUGAUUUGUCUGCAAAAUUAUUGUUUUGAUGCAUAACUGAUAAAACUCUGGUUACUAUUCCACU